UAUUAAUCUUAAAAACUAAAUUUUUAAGUAACAUUUUUUUCCAGCAACAUUUACAUACAGCUUUUCAUUAUCUUUUUAGAAUAUAAAAAUUUCUGAUAAAAUGGUGAUGAAGUGGUUAGAAGUAGUGUUGCGGUUGCCAAUGAUAUUUAUGCUUGACAUCAGCUUGAGUUUUGUUCCUGGCUAUUUGCAAGAAUUUUGUUCAUGGCCUGUUUUUACCACUGUUCAAAGUAUUUGUGUGGUUGCUAGUUUAUGCGUUCUUGUUGCAUCAAAUGAACAAUUGUUUUCUGUAUACUACUUUGGGAUUUUCUUCUUGCAUCUUACAGCUAUUUUGUACCUAAAUGUUUGGAACACACCUGUUUUGUUAGAUCGUCAUCGUUCGUUUACCGAGAUAUUUGACUUAGAUACAUUUAUUUUGUUACAACCAAUCGCAAUUUCAUGGAUCGUUUACUUUAUAUCAAUAGUUAUUUACGCAUUAGCUUUUCGAUCUAUCAAACCUGUUAUUCUUGCAGUAUCACUUAUUAUGUUGAUAUCAAACAAUUUAACAGGCAAGGAUGAAACUACAUUUGAGGAGAGUGUUGCAUUUGGUAUUGUUUUGUUCAUUGUGUUACAGACUCUCCACCAUCUCAUUAUUCAUUUUGUGGAGCUUGUAAAGUAUCAAAUCAGAGUACUCUUGUUUAGAUUUCGAAUGUAUGGAAUAUUAGUUUUACUGGUUUUACAUUGGAGACGGUUAAAUAUAAAUGAAGUGUUAUGUUUAUAUUGGAUUUUAAUGUGGAAUUAUCAGAUGAUUAUUUUUACUAUAUUUGUAGACGAACGAUUUCAUCCAUCAUUUAUAUUAGCAUGCAUGUCCUAUGCAUGCAACUCCUUUCUAAAAGUGUGUGCAUUAUGUUAUGUUAUACUGCAUGUAGUAAAGGUUUUGUUAAAGACUGUUCACAAUGUUGUUAGGGACCAACACACAUUUGUUGAAGAAACUCAGCAUCGUCCAUCUGGACUACGAGAAAGUAUUGGUUUUUUAUUUUUAAGUUUAUAUACAAACUUGACAAGCUUAGACCCUUCUAAACGUAUUGUUCUUCUUGAACUUAUUUUACUGUUAUUGAUAUCAGCCAUGAUUAGGUCAGUGUUUGAAGUGAUCGAGCCAUAUCUGCUGGCAUUAAAUAGCACUGUAACUCACAGUCGUAAAAGACACGCACAGCUUGUUGCCUUUUGUAUUUGCUUAAUGGUUUUAUCAAUUUAUAUGGGUGUUCACUUGUACAAGCUAAGAGACCGUUUACCGUUUAGUAUACCAAAUAUAAUCACAGUAGCGCAAAUAUUUUGUGCACUAAUACUAUACUUUUUAUACACAUACGAUUCUCAUAGAGGAGAAUUAUGGGAGGAGUUAGAUGAUUAUGUGUAUUACAUUAAAGGUGCAUGUCGUACCUUUGAAUUCUUUUUAAUAGUUUUGGUACUGGGUUAUCGUGUUCUUGACACUUCAUCCAAAUGGACCAUAUUUCAGAUCAUCAUGGUUAUUUUACAUCUUUAUGUUAAUGUUUACCUCUCUUUAAAAGAUGGAUGGAGGAGUGUCCAAUUAAGAAGAUUGGUGAAUCAAAAACUUAAUGUAUUACCCCAGGCUAGCCAUGAAAGACUUGCUGAUACAGAAGAUGUAUGUCCGAUUUGUUUGGAUGAACUUAAAUCAGCCCGGGUUACUCCAUGUAAUCAUUUGUUUCAUACAUACUGUUUAAAGAAAUGGUUGAAUGUUCAAAACAAAUGCCCGAUGUGCCAUGCUACGAUCUUGGAAAGAGAAUAAAUUAUGAAUAAAAUGAUAAAAGUGUAAAAGAAAACGAAAUUAAGAUAAAUUAUAUUUAGUAACUUUUGUGUUGAUAAUAGAAUAUUUUUUCAAAUUGUCUUUUUAAUUUUUAACUUAAUUUAUUUAACUUAAUUUAACUUAAUUCUCAUCAACGAUUAUCAAAGAUUCGUUCUAUUAUUUAAAAGUUGCUUUAAUUUUUACAAUAAAUUUACUGCUAUGCUAUAAAACGUUUUCAUUUACCAUAACUUUUAUAAUAGUAGUUUUUGUGUUAAUGAUUUCUUUAAAAGACUCAGUGGCAGUAUUUCACAGUAUAUUUUAUCUUCCUAAAUAUUACAUAAAACAUGAUAUAUUCAGUUGGCUGACGUGUUUGGUAAAGUUAGCUUCUGAAAAAUGCUUCAAAAAAGUUAUUCCCUUGUCUUCUUCUCUGUUUGUUUGGCAUAUAAUUGAUUUGCAAACUGUUUCCAAGUUGUUUUACUUCUAGCAGAACAAAAAGUACGGAAAUAACAUUUUUUUUUCUGAAUGUUUAAUGUUUAGUAUUUAUAUAAUGGCUGAAAUCAGUGUUUGCAAGUCUGAAGAAACUUUUAAAGCUCUUUUAAAGAGAGCUGCAAGCCAGCUUCUUGUUUUGCACUUUGAAGCUGAGUGGGCUGAAGAAUGCAAACAAAUGAAUGAAGUAUUUACUGAAUUGUCAAAAGAAUUUACACGUUCUAUAUUUGCUCGA